rnacentral:lncRNA from 1 species
CAGAGCCUGGAGUUCUUCUUUCAUAGCCUUACACCAAUUAGGAUUGGUGUUAGCGUCAUAGAAGGAGGUGGGCUCUGUGUGUGAUGUGAGAGUGUUUAAAUAAGCCUUGUAUAAAGAUGAUACUGAAGUAUAACUGAUAUAGUGAUGAAUGGGAUACGAUACCGAAUUGGACACAUAAUCCUUUAGCCGAGCAGGAGGUCU